rnacentral:rRNA from 1 species
AUGAAGAUCGGGAAGGCUCCUGAGCUCUUGAAGAAGGCGGCAGCGAUGUGUAAGAGCAAGACCGCCAGGCUCCUCCUCCUUGCCUCGCUGCAGCGCCGCAGGAUGGCCACAGGCGCGGUGGUCUCACGCAAGAUCGACGCACUCAUUGUGGCCGACUGGGAGAGAGCAGACCGCCACAAGGCUCUCGCGCUGCACAUGGUCGGGAAGAGACCGAUAAUCAUCCAUGAGAGUAACUUGGAGGCCAAUUUCGCUCAUCACUUGGCAAUGUUUGGUCAAGAGAAUGGUGAGGCUGGCUGCCCAACUGACCGGACAUUGCAUCCCCUAUUCAACAACGACCACGACAACUGCCCUUACACUGACAAUGAUGAUGUGCUACUUGAUUCAUGCGAUCAUGACGAUGAUGACGAGCCAUCAGUCGUGGAUGUGAUCAGGAGCAAUCGAGAAGUUGAGGGGGUGGAGUCCAACAUGGAGGAUGAGAUUGAUCAGGCUGCUGAUAUGUUCAUUAGGAGGUUCCGGCAGCAGCUGAACGAGGGAUUUUAG